rnacentral:rRNA from 1 species
AUUGAACGCUGGCGGCAUGCCUUACACAUGCAAGUCGAACGGUAACAGGUUAGGCUGACGAGUGGCGAACGGGUGAGUAAUGCAUCGGAACGUGCCCGAUCGUGGGGGAUAACGCAGCGAAAGCUGCGCUAAUACCGCAUCAGAUCUGAGGAUGAAAGCGGGGGACCGUAAGGCACCGCGCGAUCGGAGCGGCCGAUGUCAGAUUAGGUAGUGGGUGGGGUAAAGGCUCACCAAGCCGACGAUCUGUAGCUGGUCUGAUAGGACCACCAGCCACACUGGGACGGAGACACGGGACGAAACACUGCGGGAGGCAGCAGUGGGGAAUUUUGGACAAUGGGCGAAAGCCUGAUCCAGCAAUGCCGCGUGAAGGAAGAAGGCCUUCGGGUUGUAAACUGCUUUUGUACGGAGCGAAAAGGCUCUCUCUAAUACAGGGGGCUCAUGACGGUACCGUAAGAAUAAGCACCGGCUAACUACGUGCCAGCCGCCGCCGUAAGAC